CUUGCAGCCUCCUGCCUAGAGAAUCUAUAGAGGCGGGUGAGAGUGUGUCUUCCUUAAUAUAUGUCAGCAGUGGAGUGGUGUGCUUAAGGAGAGAGAGACUUGGAAAAAUACAGACCGAGAACAAGGCCAUGUGGAGAUAGAGGCAGAGACUGAAGUUGUACCACCAAAGGCAAAGAAUAUCAAGUAUUAUCAGUAACCACAGGAAGCUGGAAGAGGCCAGGAAAGGUUUUUCUUAGAGACCUUGGAAGGAGCCUGACCCUGGAACACCUUGAUUUUAGACUUCUGACCCUCAAAAUUGUGAAAGAAUAAAUUUCUGUUGUUUUAAGCA
rnacentral:lncRNA from 1 species